AGAUUAAAUUUAAAUUAGGCUUCUAACCUAACUAUAAUGGAAAACCAUUUUAAUCUU
rnacentral:tRNA from 1 species